UUCUCUCUCUCUCUCUCUCUCUCUCUUCUUUAUUUUUUCUUCUUCUUCUUCUCCCUGUAAAUUAAUAAGAGAGAGAGAGAUGGAGAGGGAGGGGGAGAGAGAGAA
rnacentral:miRNA from 1 species